rnacentral:lncRNA from 1 species
AGAUAAAAUCCGUAAUAAAAUACACUUAAACAGGAAGAGUUUGAAGUGAACAUUUUAACAUUUCUAUAUUGCUCAUCAUAGGGAUGGUGCCAAUGGGGAGGCUAGUGGUAGUACCCGGCACUAUUUGACCCAACUAUUUGGUGUAGGGUAUAUUAGGGACGGCACAAGAGGAAGGCUAGUGGUAGUACCUCGUGCCCCUUCCAACUCCACCGGAUAGGGAGCAAAUAGAGUAUAGAGCAUAAGAAGGUAAAAAUGAAAGUAUAUAAGAAGAAUCAAGUCAAAUUUUUUUAAUCACUUGAAAACAUACUUUAAGGAUGAAAUCAGUGCAAGAUUAUAUUUAAAUAGGAGGAGUUUAUUUGAAAAGAAUUGAUUUUGAUCCUUGACAUGCUUGUUCUGAAUAUUUUAAUGCAUAAUAUAUUUUGCAUGUCACAUGAUAUUUUGAAUUAUAUGUUUUCAAUAUUCAUAUAACAAAGAUAUUUCCUAAAUAUAACUUGUAAUGCUUCAUGCCUAUAAAAUUUGAUUGAAACAUGUUAUUACCAACAACAACAUCAUUUUGUUUUAAUGAAU